AUUAGCGGCGGAGGGUGAGUACACGUGGGUAACCUGCCUGUAAGACUGGGAUAACUCCGGGAAACCGGAGCUAAUACCGGAUAGUUCCUUGAACCGCAUGGUUCAAGGAUGAAAGACGGUUUCGGCUGUCACUUACAGAUGGACCCGCGGCGCAUUAGCUAGUUGGUGAGGUAACGGCUCACCAAGGCGACGAUGCGUAGCCGACCUGAGAGGGUGAUCGGCCACACUGGGACUGAGACACGGCCCAGACUCCUACGGGAGGCAGCAGUAGGGAAUCUUCCGCAAUGGACGAAAGUCUGACGGAGCAACGCCGCGUGAGUGAUGAAGGUUUUCGGAUCGUAAAGCUCUGUUGUUAGGGAAGAACAAGUGCAAGAGUAACUGCUUGCACCUUGACGGUACCUAACCAGAAAGCCACGGCUAACUACGUGCCAGCAGCCGCGGUAAUACGUAGGUGGCAAGCGUUGUCCGGAAUUAUUGGGCGUAAAGGGCUCGCAGGCGGUUUCUUAAGUCUGAUGUGAAAGCCCCCGGCUCAACCGGGGAGGGUCAUGG
rnacentral:rRNA from 1 species